UCAAGCAAAUUGCGUGGGUUUGCAAUAAAUCUCCUCGCAUUCUUAGGUAAGCAAAAUAUAUCUGACAUCUCUUGAUUUCUAUCAUCAUUAUCAUGGUUUUAUCUGAUCACUCUUUAAUGGUUGAUCCAGGAAUCAAGCAAAUAUAUGAUUUGAAGAAGAUCCACAUGUAUUCAGAAAAAAUUCUAUAUCAACUCUGGAUUAUGAGGGACACCGCCAGGCAGAUGUACAUGGAGCAUUCCACAAUGCUGUAAAGAAUGGCAUGGUUGAGUUUAAUUAUCGGCCUUUCCACGCUUUUCUUCUCCAUUGCAACCAUGAUGGUAACCUUCUGUGCUGCUCUUAUAAUUAUGUUGGAUGGGAGAUUGAAAAUUAUAAUUCCAAUUGUACUGCUUGCUACUAUCCCUGUAACUUUUUUCAUGUUGCUGCAAUUUCCCCUGCUAGUGGAGAUUUUUGUAUCCACAUAUGGACCAGGAAUCUUCAACAGAAACAUGAAACGUUGGUACUGAUUAAUGAAAGGUUAACCAUUUCCUUCGUUCUCUCUGAUCGUGCAUUUGGCCAUCUUUGCGAUUACUUCCAUAGCUGUGCAACCACAAUUAUCUUCUAUUUCCAAGUCUUUGGGUGACAUUAAUACUGCAAUCUUUUCUACAACCUCUGCAUUUCGGGCUGAAGUCUUCACAUGAAGAGCUGUUCCACCAAAAGGAGUAGUUUUCGCAUUUAUUGCAUCCGGAGGAUGGUUAAGAAAUCUUUUCGUGGCAACCCAAUUCCCUUCAUGUGCAUGCUUAUUAAUUUCAGGCCAUUGAGUAUAUUCGUUCUGAAUGAGUCCUGCCAGAGUCGUGCUAUCAUUUUAAGAGAAGAAACAGCACGGGCAUGAUUUUCAUUAAAAUUAUCUGUAGUCUUAGUUAUGUUUCAAAAGAAAUUGAAAGGGCUAAAGGUGUUUGGAGGCUCAACAACAGGCGCAAGCAGCAUUGGUGUCUGCUAGAACAGCUUCUUGAUCAUCAAAAGCCUUGAAGGCACUUGGGACUAGCGUUUUGCUUGGCCUAGGACACAUGCAUGAUGUCUUCGCUUUUUACAGUUUUCUUAAUAAAAACUACUCUCUAGUUUUAUCAAAAAAAUUUAGAUUUCUAUCAGAAAGAGGUACAGAGGGCACCUCCUCUAAUAAUAAACAAAUACCUCCUUGCAUGGAGGGCGACUAAGGCAUUCUAUACAUUAACCCAGCCAUUGUUAAUUUUGCUGGCAUCAAGCUGGAACAUCGACCAGCAUGGGGCAUUUUCAAGCCCAUUCUAGAUGAUUCGUGGAAAAUUCCCGACAGAAGGGAAAGGAAGAAGCAGCUUGAUCUAGAUUGUUGCUCUGUACAUGAACUGCCACCACACCAUGCAAGUAUUUCAUGGGGUCUUCUUGUUGCUAUAUUUUCUAGCUUUCAUUCAAUGAUAUCUUGGUUCUUGGCUUUCCAUUUUUUCCCCCACUCUUUAAUAAUGCAAUGAGUUGCGUGAAGUAAGUUCAAUGCCCUGAAAAAAAUUCACAGAGCAUAAAGAUCUUAGCACUAAAUGAAAAUAAUGGAAAUAUUCGUCCAUCGAUUAUUUACUUAUUUAUUGAAAAUGAUGGAAUAAAACGCAAUAACAUCAAUUUCAUGCGGUAUCGAUAGAAAAAUACUUUCAAAACCACAUUAAGGUCCCCAAAAAACAUAGCGUGAUGGCAAAGGACUUGAGUUCGAGUCAAGGCGUGCACAAUUUGUAAGAGCCCGGGACAACUGAGGUUUUACUUAUUUACCUGAGCCCACAAAAUGCGCUUUCCAAAAAAUAAGGUUUCCUCGAAUUCAAAAAAAAAAAAAACGAUCCAGUUAAGUAACGCAUCGAUUUUAUAAUGAAGAGGUUAGAGCAAGUAUUACUUCUUUUUCAUGUUUUGUUCAUAAGCCUUUCCUUUCUUUAAUCCCUCAUCUUUUGUAAAUUAGUGCUCGAAGACACUAAAACCUCAUCUUUUAUAAAUGACUUGAGUUCGAAUGAAGGCGUGCAUAUCUUGCGCUGGCAUGUAAAAAUAGACCCGUGCACAAGGACCCUAAUUUUAAAAAAAAAGUUAGUGGAACGAUGACAUGUUGUAUGGAAUCAUCUAGAUUUCGGCCAGAAAAACAAGUUAUAUUAUUUCUACAUUAGAACAUGUAUGUAUCGUAGAUCACAUAGAAGAUCCGCAUUUAUUCGGAUCAAAUUAGACAGAGGGGCAGAUGUCCACUAGGCACUAAAGAAUGGCAUCGUUGAGCUUGUUAUUCAUGUGAUUACAGCUUGUCGUCAUGCAAUGAUUGGUGUAGAUGCAAGAAACCUAUUUAUGUCCUUUAUAUCAUUAGAAUAUUCGAAGGGUGGUUACAGCUUUUUUUUAAGAUUUUUUAUUUACAAAUAUAUUAAAUUAAUAUUUUUUAAUUUUUUAAAAAUUAUUUUUAUUACUAAUACAUCAAAAUAUUUAAAAACAUUUAAAUAAUAUUAAUUUCAAAAUUUUAAAAAAACUGUGUUCGCAAACAGUCAUGUCGGCAAGAAAAAGUGUUCAGCCUUUUCUAUGGACUUGAAGCAAGCAGAGCAUAAUUCGUUCUUUACCUUUGUGGAUAGCUCACGAGAUACAAUGCUUCAUUUGGCAGCAAAAUUGAUUGGACCUUUAUUGCAAAUAAUUUUAUUUUUUCUAUAUAGCAUAUGAAAUCAAUCCUAAUUACAUAUAUAAAUUCGUACUUAAUUUAACUAUAUUCAAUCAAUCCAUAAUUUAGUGUAAUAUUUCAUCAGUCUUCAGAGAGAAAGGGGCUGUAACUGCAGGGAGAAAAAAACAUAUCACAAUCGCGCGAAAAUCCACAAGCUGUACUGUUUCGUUAAUUUUUAAAAAAUUGUGCUUUUAUUAAUAUUUUUUAUUUAGUGUGCUAAUUAUUUAAAAAAAAACUAAAAUCUGGGGCAUUUAUAAUAAUUAAAUACUUCAUCGGAUCGCAUUUCCAGUUGUCACCCAUCCGUAGAUGCCGUUUGACCUUAAUGUUGAAUAUCAGGUAUAGGGCAUUUAUGGAUGACACCGAGGUGAAAUGAAAGGCUGAGAGUGCUGGACGCUUGAUAGUCUUUGUUCCGGACUGGAGGGAGCACCAUAGCAAGAACACCAACAUACCUUCCCUCAAUUUCUUGCCAUCGCCCAGACAUACUCAGCAGUCUGGUCAAGCUUGGGAGAGAGAAGUAAGGGAAUUAUAAGAGGCUCUGUCUCUGUGAACUGCUACCACACCAUGUAAGUAUUUCAUUGACCGUGGGGCUUCAGAUUCAAUGGCCCACGUUCCAACAGUAGCAGCAGCGCAUGGGUUGCCAGCGGCGGGGGCGCGCAGAGGAGACGCACCGCUGCUGUUAUGAAAUCAUAAAAGUUGCCCAGAAAAUCUCCCAGCACUAUUUCCGUGACUUGGAUGAUUCCAACACUGUUCUUGAUUCUAUCUUUAGGGUUUUUUUUUUGUAAAUUUAAAUUGUUAAAUUUGUUAUUUGGAUUGUUCUGAACAUUGAUUAUUUUGUAAUAUUUAGUUAUGGGUGUGUCUGUGUAUAUUACAGUAAAAAAAACAGUGAUAUGUGUGUAUUUUUUUUAUUUAUGUUAUUGAAUUAUAAAAAUAAAAAAAAAUAAAAAGAAUUAACUGUUUAAUUUAAAUAUAGUUAAAUAUCUCAAGGAUAAAUAAAAUCACGUUGUGUUUUCCUGUUAAAAUGUAAAAAUACGUUUUUAUAUCUAUUAUAAGAUUUAAUAACUGAUUUAUUAAAACCUUAAAAAUUUAAUUAAUAUUUUAAAUUUUUAAAUCACAUCAAACCGCAAAGCAGCUUAUCUCAGAUAAGGUGCGCUAGGGAUGCUAAUAGUUUCUCAAGUCAUAACCAGUCUCUUACCUUAAAUGUCUGAUAACGAUCAGUAAAUCCAAGUUUCUUGGUUACCUUCGUAAAUGAAGAUGGAAGGAUCUCACUUGUUGAGGCAUGUAUAGGAAGUCACAAGGAUAUGGCUCUUUAUCUAUACUCUGUUACUCCAAUUGAAUUUCUUUGUAGAGGCAAUCUCGACUAUGGAUCUCGCUUCCUAAAAAAUGCUAUUGCUACUCAACUGCUUGGUAAGAGACUUUACCCAUUAAUUACUUAUUUUCCCUUUUUUGUCUUUUUUUUUUCAUGUUUUUUCAUAAAUUUACCCUUUCGAGUAAAUUAUUAUUUAUUUCCUGUAAUUUAAUAAAAAUAAUUCAUUAAAAAUUAUGGUUUUUAAGAAAUAUAUGAAUAAUCCUUUUGUUUUUAACUUCAAAUCAUUUUGUCAGUUUCAUGUGAUUUUUUAAUUAAUUAUUUCUUCUUCUUUUUAAAUAAUAGAAAAGGGAAGGAAAAUCAGGUAAGAUGGGAAAAGAAGGCAAUAAUAAAUUGAUACGAAACAAAAUGACUUGUAAUUUAUUAACAUUUCAAAACACUAAAACCCCAUCUUUCUUGUUGCUUCUUAUGCUGUUUCUUUUUGCUAUUGCAAUACCAGAUAUUGCUCUCGAUUUUCUGUAUCGCUGCCCACAUUUUGCUACUAGAACGGAUGAAUUAGUUCUGAAGUCGAAAGGUUUGAGUUAUUUGUCUGACAUGCCUGAAACAUUUCCAAGUGAAGAUCGACUUGCAUUGUGGCAGCAAUGGAUCUAUUCAUGUUAGUAUCUCUUCCUUCGAUUUUUCCUCCUCCCAUUUCUCUUCAUUUCCUCUGCCAAUAUUUUUUACGUAUAAUGUUCUAUAUGUUUUUGGAGAUUAUCACACCGUCACAAAGAAAGAAAAGCGGAAGGUUCUAUUUGAUAUAAUUUUUAUAAAUUGAUAUAAAUUAUUUUUUAAUUUUUUACCCAUAGAAAAAUUGUAAAUAUAUUUAGUUAGAAAUGAUUUUUGGUUUAAAUCAAAAUUUAUUACAAAAAUGAGUCAAAAUUUUAAUGUCAUCUAAAGUUUAGGAAAAAAUUAAUCUUUAAUUUAUGAAUUUCAACUUAUAAUAUAUCUAUUCCUUAAAAGAAUUACUUUAAAUUAUUUUUAUCAAACAUAUUUCUAAAAUAAAGUUAUUUGAACUUAUUUUUUUUAUAAAUGAUCUAUAAAAAAAACAACUUUUUAAUUAAUUAUGAUUCAUGUUAAAAUCAUUUUUUUCAUAAGUCAUGUUAGGUAAACUUCAAGUUAUAUAUAUUUACUAAGAUUGACUUGAUUCUAAAAUGAUGGCAGGUAUUCCCAAGCAAUCAAUUGCUACAACUGAUGACAAUGUUCGUAUUAGUAUGCCUGAUCAAAGCCUAAGUGAGUCGAAGAACAUUAUCCUCCAAGGUACGUAUUUGCACAAAUCGCUCUCUGUUUUUGCUCCCUCUCCUUUAAAGGGGUAUGGCAAGCACAGGACAUAUGUAUAGGAGUCCAAUUGGACGGUUUCUUGAUAUAUUUAUUUCUAUUUUCCAAAAAUAUAAACUUUUUUGAACCCUAAUCCUAGUAUCCGAUCAUUUAUUCAAUCCCAAAUCCGAUAAAUCUCAUAUAUAUAUUUUUAUAAAUUUAGCUUUAGUUAAAGUACAAAACCUUUAGUUACGGGAGCAAUUAUCAUUACAUUGAAAACUUAAUACAUGCAAGUUUGAUUAGUAUACAUAUAUGCUGCUUGUGAUAGUUUCUCUAAUUUGUUUUUGUCCAACGUUUCAGUGUCAAGCAAAUUGCGUGGGUUUGCAAUAAAUCUCCUCGCAUUCUUAGGUAAGCAAAAUAUAUCUGACAUCUCUUGAUUUCUAUCAUCAUUAUCAUGGUUUUAUCUGAUCACUCUUUAAUGGUUGAUCCAGGAAUCAAGCAAAUAUAUGAUUUGAAGAAGAUCCACAUGUAUUCAGAAAAAAUUCUACGGUGUAUGUGUGAGUAUAUAUCAACUCUGGAUUAUGAGGGACACCGCCAGGCAGAUGUACAUGGAGCAUUCCACAAUGCUGUAAAGAAUGGCAUGGUUGAGUUUAUUACUGAGGUGAUUAAAGCUUGUCCUCAUUUAAUGAUUAGUGGAGAUGACAACUCAAGGAACCUAUUUAUGUCCUCGAUUGCAAACCGGCAAGAAAAAGUGUUCAGCCUUUUCUAUGGACUGGAAGCAGAAAGAGCAGGAAUUGUUUCCCUCGUAGAUAGAUCUGGAAAUACAUUGCUACAUUUGGCAGCAAAACUGUCACCUCCUUCUCAACUAGCUCGGAUCUCUGGUGCAGCUCUACAGAUGCAAAGAGAACUACAAUGGUACAAGGUGAGCUUUCUACACUCAACAUCUUUAAAAAAAAUUGAUUGAACCUUGAUCAAAGAUAAUUUAGAACUGAUUAAGACCUAAUUGAUUUGAAUUUAGGCUACCCAUUUACACAUUUUCAUUGUUAUCCAAAAAGAAUUAAUUUCACUCGAAUUCAAAAAUCUUAAUGCAGGAAGUGGAAAGCAUUAUGAAUCCUGUACUUAAGGAAAAUCUUAAUGCGAACACUCAGACAGCCAGGGAAUUAUUUACGUCUGACCAUAAGGACUUGGUAGUGAAAGGAGAGCAAUGGAUGAAAGAAGCAGCAACUUCUUGUACAGUUGUGGGUGCUCUCAUCAUUACAAUUAUGUUUACUGUCGCAUUUACUGUUCCCGGCGGCAACGUUCAGGAGACCGGCUAUCCUGUUUUAAAAGAUGAGAAAUCUUUUACAGUUUUUAUAGUAGCGGAUGCACUCUCUCUCUUUUCUUCAUCAACAUCAGUGUUGAUGUUCUUAGGAAUUCUUACGUCGCGAUACGCAGAGAAAGAUUUCCUUAAAUCCUUGCCCAAGAAGUUAAUUAUCGGCCUUUCCACGCUUUUCUUCUCCAUUGCAACCAUGAUGGUAACCUUCUGUGCUGCUCUUAUAAUUAUGUUGGAUGGGAGAUUGAAAAUUAUAAUUCCAAUUGUACUGCUUGCUACUAUCCCUGUAACUUUUUUCAUGUUGCUGCAAUUUCCCCUGCUAGUGGAGAUUUUUGUAUCCACAUAUGGACCAGG
rnacentral:lncRNA from 1 species